rnacentral:lncRNA from 1 species
AAAUGGACAAGCUGGGCUUCUGUUUCCGGUAUGGUGGAGUAAACGCCUAUUGAACUAACCCUUCCAAAGGCAGCACUAUAAACUCUGGGCAAAAUAGGAAACAACACUUACCUGAAGUCACCAGAGCGUGAACACAGCAGGCACAUUCUGAAGGUGUCAACACUUGGAAGAGGAAAACGGUACCGGGUUUUCACAGCUCCUAGACUAAAGUCAGGUAACAGGCCAUGCCAUGCAGGGCAAAUAAAACUCCAAUAAAAAGCCAUAGGUUUUUCUGGCUAGAAAAGCUAGAAGACAAGUGUGAUGGUUAAUAUUGAGUGUCAACCUGAUUGGCUUGAAGGAUGGAAAAUAUUGAUCCUGGGUGUGUCUGUGAGGAUGUUUCCAAAGAAGAUUAACAUUUGAGUCAGUGGACUGGGAGAGGCAGCCCCACCCUCAAUGUGAGUGAGCACCAUCUAAUCAGCUGCCAGCAUGGCUAGAAUAAAGCAGGCAGAAGAAGGAGGAAUGAGCAGACUUGCUGAGUUCUGGCCUCCAUUUUUCUCCUGUGCUAGAUGCUUCCUGCCCUCAAACAUCAGACUCCACGUUCUUUGGCUUUUGGACUCUUGGCCUUUGUGAUUUGCCAGGGGCUCUCAGGCCUUCACCCACAGACUGAAGGCUGCACCGUCGGCUUCCCUACUUUUGAGGUUUUGGGACUCAGACUGAUCCACUACUGACUUCCUUGCUCCUCAACUUGCAGACAGCAUAUUGUGGAACUUUACCUUGUGAUGAUGUGAGUCAGUUCUCCUUAAUAAACUCCCCUUCCUAUAUACAACUAUCCUAUUCUGUCCCUCUAGAGAACGCUGAUCAUACAGUACAUUGGUACCAGAAGUGGGGUGAUCAGCCAGCUACUUGGUGGCGGGUUGAUUAUAUUGAAACUCUUCCACCAUGGAAAGGGCUGUGGUUUGUCCUCACCAGUAUAGACACUUACUCCAGAUAUGGGUUUGCCUAUCCUGCACUCAAUGCUUCUACCAAGACUACCAUCCGUGGACUCACAGAAUGCCUUAUCCACCAUCAUGGUAUUCCAUACAGCAUUGCCUCUUACCAAGGUACUCACUUUACAGCUAAAGAAGGGCAGCAGUGGACUCAGGCUCGUGGAAUUCACUGCUUGUACCACAUUCCCCACCAUCCCAAAGCAGCUGGAUUGAUUGAAUGGUGGAAUGGCCUUUUGAAGUCACGGUCACAAUGGCAACUAGGUGAGAAUACUUUGCAAGACUGGGGCAGAGUUCUCCAGAAGGCCAUGCAUGCUCUGAAU